rnacentral:lncRNA from 1 species
GCCUCAGCAGUGACUCACAGUUUCAGUUCCUGCAUGUGUAGGUCCCGAUAGCUGAAAAGCAACCAAAUGAGGUCGGGAUCCGCAGAGGACCACCCUGAAGAUGCUCAUACUGUAUGCAGCUGCCCUUUAAGAAGCAUCACUGGGUCACAUCAACAUAAAAACACGAAAAUGGCAACGCGUCACGAGCACAACCACACAGGCAAACUCUUAUGGACCUGUACGAGAUAUAUAACUUAAUGAAGCCCCCAGCAGAGCAGUCUUUUGAGUUGACGGCUGUGGAAAAGCUCUUUUCCCCGAGGCUCAGAAUCUCUGGUCACACUUCACACUCAUCUGGGCAGUGAUGGCAUCCAGUAAUACUCACACUCAGGGUGAGUUUGUUGUGCUCCUAUUCAGGAAUAUGGCAGACCUUGGUGUUUAACCCCUGAGUCUGGGUGGAGCUCCAAGGUCAAGAGUUGCUUGUAACUUUGACGGUUUCCUUAGCCUUGUUGACUUUUUUUUUUCCCUUUUUUACAAUAUCACGGAAAGAAGAUGAUGAUCCUGUAAAGGGAACGACUAAGUUCUCGCUCACAAGGGGUCCUUCUGAUUGCACAACGUGGCUCAACCUCCCCGUCUGUUGAAGGUUAAGUUCUCUGCGGCACUUUCAGGGUGUUACAAGUCUCCCACGUACAGGUAGACCCACUCCGUCUCACCUGCCCCUCUAGGGACAGGUUGACACUUUGCUGCCAAUGUUGGACAUUCCAAACAGUUGCUUUGCUGCAUGGAUUGAGCCAUUAUUAACCCUAUAUGCUCAGUGAAGCACCGUGGUUAUAAAGAUACCCAGAGGUCACUGCAGUAACUGGGGGCACCUCCACUCUACACAAGUCAAGUUCCAGAAAGGAGAAUUUAUGGCUCAGCUCCGUUUUACCUUUGACCUUUCUUUCAACUGCUGACAUUGGGGCUGUGAAAACUGCGGCAUACGGGUCAGCCUUGUUCCCACCUGGAGGCCUGGGCUGCUUGUUCAACCUCACUCAAGACAUGUGAGCAGGUCCAUGCUGUUAACAAGGCACACAGAAUUGGCAGCAUGCGACAGGGUGAUAAAUACCAGGGGCCACACACCACGCGUUGACCUAGGACG